rnacentral:lncRNA from 1 species
UAGAGAAGAGUUUAGAUAACAGUCAGACUAAACACGUUUAAGGUAAAAAUAAUUACAAUAAAUUUGAAUUUGAGUUUGAAACAACAAAUACAACAUUCAUUGCCGUCAGUAAUAUUAGUAGACAAUGGGGUCGUUUCUAUUGCUUUAGUGCUUUUCACCAAUAAAUAUCUUGUUCUUCAAUGGCCUUAAUACUACAGUAGACCAUGACAGCUGCUGAUGUGGGGAUAGAUCCCAUCCAAAUUUUGGAGUCAAUACUCCCACAUACACCUACUAAAUUAUGAACUUCAAAAUUCAAUCUAAAAUGAUAGGAUAAAUGGCAGUGGCAACAUUGUAAUGCAGCUUUUAAUCUAAGGAAAACUACAGCAGCAUCAGCCACGUUAGGUUCGGCUUCAAUGUUAUCUUAACUAACACGCCGAAGGAAGGAGCAGCUCUCACAUGCUACCUAGGACAGACAGCCUGGUGGAUCAAUUUUUGCUCUACCUCUUAACAGUAUAAAAAAUAUUACAAAAACAAAAAACAGUGAUGGUAACUGCAUCU